rnacentral:lncRNA from 1 species
CCCGACAAAAAAUAGUUGGCUUUGUGUUUCUUGGUAUGAAGAAUGGGAUAGUGGCCUACCAUUAAAAAACAAAAGGAGUAGCAUGCGAUGGGAUAACUCGAGGCUACAUCGUUCUUUUCCUUUUUCAACGAGCAUGCGGCAUAAACCUCUGUGCAAGAAUUAUAGGGCUUAGACUUAACGUGUCAAAUAUCAAGAAUCAAGCAGGUAAACAAAACUGACGGGGACCUUUUAACCACGGUAACUCAGGAUUAAACCAUCCCACCAAGAAGGUGGAAUAAAGUAGCCCAUCACACUACCGGCACAAAUUGCAUUUUUCUAGAUGUAAUCAAGGCUAUCAGUGAGCUCAAAUUGUUUAUGAAAUGCGGCAAAUGAUUUGUUGUUUAUAUGAUUGGUAUAGGAGUAGGCCAACCCAAAGUGCAGCCAAGCAUUGAUGAAAUUACUGUGAGAACACUUAAAUAUAUGGGGUAGAAACUUCAAACACCCUUGCGUUUCCACAUGGGCUGCAAUGCGAGCUAUCUGGGCGUUUCCAUGCGGAGCAGCAACGCGAAUUAUCUUGGUGUUUUCAUGUGAAGAAGAAACGCCACGGUCUGUGACAUUGUCAAAAGGGUCAAAUUAUGUUCAUUUUGUGUUAUAGUUUGGGCUUAAGGCUAGAACAGUGAUUUUAACCAAAGUGCAAGGCUAGGGCAAGACAUGACAUGAGAUUACAUCACAGUUCGCUUCAUAGCAGUUCAACGCGGUAAUCGCAUCACUCAGGUCAGAUAUUUAGUUCUCCCCCCACUGCGAUGGUCGGCUUGUUCAAGAAGCUUCAAUGGACUUUGGGAUUCGUGGUCUAGGGUUGGGAGAAAUCUCUGCUUCGGGUUUACGAGGCCCACAACGGUGACGCCCGCGGGCGCCCUCCCCUUCCUAGAGGCGUUGUCUUGACCCUGAUCCGUCUCGCUCUCGUGCUCAGGGGAAACCCUUGGUCCGACCUUCGGACCAGGCGAUGGCGGCGUCACGGCGUCGUUUUGUCCUUGAAGGCAUCGUCUUGUAGCUCAAGGAGUCACGUUAGUGUGGCUCGAGCCGGUAUCGACAAUUGCUCUGGACGUGAGCCUUCGAGGCACAAUGAACAUCAUCGCCUACGCUCUCUCGACAACGCCUUUCUAGGUCUACGCGAACCAUGCCAUCCACCUCCCGACUUUCCCUUGACGUAAUGGGUGGGGGUACGUUGGUUUGUGUUGCCCUCGGGUUUUCCUCAGGUUGUAGAGGCCGUGGGCGUUGAUUGUGAUGAGGCUUGGUAGCUCCGUGAUUUGCCUCAUUGCCAUCGGCAUGGGUGUGAUCUAGGUGGUGCAUGUAUCGUAGUACGUGUGGGUGCUAAUCUUUGUGAUUAGUGUUGUUAUGGCUGUAAGGUGCUGUAUCUGGCUUCUUUGCGGCUUCUUUUCUAAUACAAUGAUACACAUGCUUAUGCGUAUUUAAAAAUAAAUCAAAUAUUUAGCAUUAAACUCGAGCAAGCUAUUGAUACGUGGACUAGCUAAUUGCACUCUA